rnacentral:rRNA from 1 species
UACGAAGGUGGCAAGCGUUACUCGGAAUUACUAGGCGUAAAGGGCAGGUAGGCGGUUCGGUAAGUCUGUUGUGUAAGCUCCCGGCUUAACUGGGAGAGGUCAACGGAAACUACCGGACUUGAGUAUAGGAGAGGUUACUGGAAUUCCCGGUGUAGCGGUGAAAUGCGCAGAGAUCGGGAGGAACACCAAUGGCGAAAGCAGGUAACUGGACUAUUACUGACGCUCAGCUGCGAAAGCUAGGGGAGCAAACAGG